UAAUCCCAGCACUCUGGGAGGCCGAGGUGUGUGUGUGUGUGUAAGUGUAUAUGACUUUUUGCUUAUCUGUUUAGUCAUUAAUGGAUAUUUGGAUCAUUUCCACCUGUUGGCUAUUGUGAAUAAUGUUGCUAUGAGCACUGGUGUACAAAUAUCUGUUUGAGUCACCUCUUAUUGGGUGUAUAUCCAGGAGUGGAAUCACUGGCGAUGUUUAAUAACUUUGAGGAACUGCAAUACUGCUUUCAUAGCUGCUGUCCCAUUUUACAUUCCCACCAGCAAUGCCCGAGUUCCAGUUUCUCCACACUUUCUCAACAAUUGUUAUUUCACCAUGAUUCUUCUGACUUAAUCCUCAUGACAAAUUGAUAAUUAUUACUAUACCUAGUAUUGGUAUUGUGCUUCACAAUUGACCAUUUUGCAUAUAUUAUGCUUUUGAAUAUUUAUAAUAAUCUUUGGUUUAAGUAUUACAGCUACAUUACAAAAGAAUACAUUGAUAUUUAGAGAUGCUACAUCACUUGUCCAAGAGCACAGAGCUAGUAGGUGGAAAAGUCAAAACCAUAACUUUACCAGAUUUCCUUUAUUAUUUGAGAAUUAAACAAUUCAUGUUUUUGAGAUUCUCCCUCGAAUGUUUCACUCACUCUGCAUUAUAAUAAGGGCAGUUCACGCAUUGAGAAAGAUUCCUGAAAAGGAGACCUGCUGCUGUCCCAUGUCUCCCAAGGUAUCAAAGAAAAUAAAUGACUUAAAUAAGUAACAGGAAGGGUUUAGGUUAGAUAUUAAUUGGGUGGUUGGUGUUGGUCAGACAUUGGAAAGGAUUACCAAAGGACUUUUUGAAAUAAUGCAAGUCCUGAAGAACGCCAUAGAGUUCAUCCUAGUACAUGUCUGAAGGCAAGGAAGUAAUUCAGUGCAACCUUGUUAGUUAUUUGAAAGUAGGGGAUAAACUGGAUGACUUCACAUCAUUUCUUCAAGUUACCUGAUUCUAUAACACAGAUUCUACCAAAUGGCUUUGUACUAGUGAGGUAAAUUGUUUUUUGGGGUUAGGGGAUGAAGCUUGUUUUCUCAACUCCUUCAUCAUCGAUCUCUGGAGAAUGCAGUCCCCAACUCUCAAUUCCAUUUCAUACCCUCAGAGUUCACGAGGUCUUCAGGGGAGGGGACAGAGAUGACCUAAUUCACCUGGGGGUUCUGAGUUAACCUCACCAGUUAACUUUCUUAAAUAUUGUUGAGUUGUUUUUCUUCUGCUCUUCUGGGAGAUUUGAAGGAUUUGCAAUUUUGGCCUGAAAUUAAAUGGGAUAAUUUCUUUUAUUUUUUUUCCAGCUUUUCCAACAGGUCAGCAGUGGUGACCUGGAGUAGUGAUCACACUGUUCCUGCCUGAUGCAGGACAUUUAGUCUUUAGAAUGAUGGAGCACAGAAUGCAGAGCUGGGGAGACUACUCAGAGAUAAUCCCGUCCAACCCGUCAUUGUACAGAUGAUGAAACUGAAGCCAGCAGAGUGCUAUUUUUUUUUUCUUUUAAAUUUCAGAAUUGAAAAUUAAGAAUGCCAUGUAAAGCAAGGUGAAAAAGGCAGGGGUGUACACAUCAAUCCCAGAUCCAGGGAGCCAACAUCUUUAAGUAGACUUCUUCAGAUGGCCUGUGGGGUACCACAGAGCUUACAGAACAACUUAAGAUCACUCCAAACCAGGUAACAUUUCAAUAAAUACAUGGAUUUAAGGCCAAUAGAAGCUGGCUUAGCACCUUGCUGAUCCUCAUUCUUACCAGAACUCCCGUCUAACCCCAGGUAACUUCACAAGUUGUUAGAAACCAUCCUUCAAAGAUCUGCCUCUUUCCUUCUGCGUGGCAGCUGGAGACUCCUGCUUGGUCCUAAUCAGUGCAGGAUCAACAACAGAAAUCCGCAAAUGUCAGUCAUUUUUCUGUUUUCACUACCCAGUUGUUUUCUCUUGAGUUUAACUGCCUGAAUUUUAGUGUCUGUGAUAAGCACUCAGGGGUAAUAUCAUACACCUCUGGAAGCCCUCUACUGAUUGUGGGCUAUGAUCUGCAAGUGAUGAAAGCAGGAUUUGGCCAAUUAGGAGUACAAGAAUUUCUUGGCACUGCCAGAGCUUCACAGAAGAUGUGUGCUGUGCACAUUCCCAUGGAGCUGGCUUGAUUUCACAAUCUUUCACAGCCUAUUGUAAUAUACCACCCAUCUCAAACAAGGUCCCUGUCCAAGUGUGCUU
rnacentral:lncRNA from 10 species